AAAGCACGUCAGUAGAACAGGGGGUAAGGUAGAAGAGAAACGUUUUGUACUUUAAAAGCAUGUCUCUCAUCUACAAACAGAACAAAUGACAGAAUGUUCUCAUAAGCAAAUCUCUCUAUUCUUUGGCAGUAAUUGUGUCCAUAUUUAUGUAACAUAAUAAACAAGUAUUUCAGUAUUUUUGAACUAUGAUUUGAAUAUUAAUAUACUCAAGUUACAAAUGUAGAAGUCCUGGCUCCUAAAGAAAGUCUCUCGGUAGACAAGUUGAAAACUUUGCUAUAUAUGAAUGUAAGAAAAUGGCCAAGUUCACUGGGCAUGGUGGCUCACGCCUAUAAUAAUCCCAGCACUUUGGGAGGCUGAGGCGGGUGGAUUACCUGAGGUCAGGAGUUCAAAACCAGCCUAGCCAAUAUGGCGACACCCUGUCUUUACUAAAAAUACAAAAAUUAGUUGGGCGUGGUGGUGGGCACCUGUAAUCCUAACUACUCGGGAGGCUGAGGUGGGAGAAUCACUUGAAACCGGGAGGUGGAGGCUGCAGUGAGCUGAGAUUGUGCCACUGCACUCCAGCCUGGGCAACAGAGUGAGACUCAGAGUGAGACUCCAUCUCAAAAGAAAAAAAAAGAAAAAAGAAAACAGCUGAGUUCAUAAAACCUAUCUGUUACAGGGGAACUCAGAAUGCUUUUGCAGCCUGCCAUCUUUAGUGCCUGCCUUUCCAGUCACCUCUUCCCCACCAUUUUCCUGAUCCUCCGACUUGACAGCUCCCAGAACUUGGCUUUCCUGUCUUUUAGGUACAUGCAGUGACGGAGGCACUGCUGAAGUUAGGGGCAAUCUGCAGGUUUGUGUUUCAGGAGGCAGGCAAACCAAAGGUAAGAACAUCUUCUGAUUAACUGUAAGAUGGGAUAAUUUUUAUGAAUACAACUUCAGAAAGCAUCAAGUUUCAAGGGUGUUUGCGUUUGAAAGGAUUUGGCUUCUAAGUAUUACAUUAUAAAAGAGUCUUCUUAAGGAGACAUGUAAAAAGUAACUCAUAUCCAGUAGCUCCAACCCAGCUUCCAACAGAUUUCUAGACUUAGACCUUUAGAUUCCUGACUCUAAGAUAACAGAAAAUGCCAGAAAGGUAGAGGGGAAGAGGGAAAAUAAUGAUCUAAUAUUAGUAAAGUGCUACAAAUUUUGCAGUAAAAUAUACUACAUAAAUGACUAGAAGUAACAGUAAAUAAUAUUAAGAUACUAUAUAAAGACUAUAUAUUAAGACACUAAAUAAAAUACACACACUAUAGAAUGUACACGGAGUAAUCACUACCCAUGGGUUGACAAAUACACCAGAAUAAACAUGAGUCCUUUUUAUUAAUUUUACAACAUAACUGCUAAAGUAAUUAUUUUCCUUCAUCAAGCUAGUUACCACUCAAGUGUUAACGCCUACCUGGAAGUCUCCCAUGUUAAAGCCUCAACAUGCUUUGGUAGUCUUCUUUCUCUCAAGUAGGAGUUGCUUUUCUCAUGAUACCUAAUUCUUCCUCUAAGCUCUAAGUAGAUAUAAUUCGGAUUUGAUAGUCCCAUGGGCCCAAACUUUGAGGCCGUGGACACCUCUGAUUUCACCUUUAUCAGGUAAAUAAUGGCACAAUGUUGAAUAUACUUUAAAAAUGUCUACUUUUGCCUUCAUUUAAAACAAAACUGUGUGGGGCUACUGUGUGUAAGUAAGAAGGACAUAAAAUUGAGCCUAUGGCUUGCAAACUAGAUAAAGCAGAUCUAGAUAACACCAAGUUGGUCACGAUUUUCAGCCACCGCAGAUUUCUUCUCAUCUCAUCAAAUCAUAGUAUCCUUGGCGACCUAAAAUCACUUUCUCAGCUUUAGUAAUAGCCAAACAGUCUCAAAAUGAAAAUAAGUGUUUUUCCCUUUACUAGUAAACAUAUACAACUACAUUAUGCACCUAGUUAAUACUCAAUGAAGGGAAGGACAAUUAGAAAAUAAAUUAGAUAUUUGUUUACUCUUUUACUGAAUAAUCAUGUAAUACAGAGGAUUUUAGGCAAACUAUUGCUUUGGGAACAUCUGUUUAGAUAAUGCAAGUUUUCAUUGUAUUAGGACUUCCCUCUGCCUGCAUAUUUGUUUAUAAUUAGGCUAUUUCUUAUCCCAAUGAUCCACUCCACUUUCUAGGAAUGAAUUUGCCUUAAUAGCCUUCCAUUAUGUUCUUAGGUUUCUAUACUCAUGCAAACACACACAGCAUGCAAACCGAGUCUUACAGAGUAUUACUGGAAAUUAUAAGAAAACAGAAAACUUCUGAAGAGACAUCAAGUAAUUCCUGAUCUAUAUCUAUAUAUUUAUCUAUCAUAGGAAAACAUUUAUAACCCCCCACAAUCACCAAAACUCAUAUACUUGCCAUAAUUAGGUACAGGUCUCUUGUUUCUCAAACAAAUGUCCCUUUCUCUAUCAUUUCAGUCAAUGUGGAGAAUCCAAGGAUGCCCAUGUUUUAAGUCAACAUGAAUUAAAUGUUUUAUAAGUUUCUAUAGUCAUAUAGAUAAUACAUGUGAAAUGGUUUGAUAAAAGGCUAUUUAAAAAAUAAAAUCAUCUAUAUAUACUUCCCCAGAAAAUCAUCAGUGAUUUAAAAGAGAUGGAUGCCACCCCAUUUGUGCUGCCCCUUGUUUUCUAGAAAGGAAGCUAAAUAUUAAUACUUCGGUAAUUUGAGGGAUUGGGUGGAAAUUAGCUCUGUUAGCAUAUUAUGUUAUGUUUUUUAGGCUUCUGGGAACUGAACAGCAUUUGCUGCAAAACUUUAGACCACUUCUGUGUUAAAACUGGACAAUAAAACAUUUUCAACAAAAGGAACAUACACCAAUUAUUAUUUAAAUAUUCUUUAUAGAUAGAAAAUAAAAAAUUAGACGACAGAUACAUUGAGAAUAGCCUUCCUCAUAGAAAAAACUUCAUGAUAUAAAACAUUCAAAUCAUUAUUAUAGUUAUCAAGAAUAAGCUCUGAAACCUCCUUCUAAAUGUAAUGAAACUAGGUUGGAUAAUUACCAAAAGAAACUGCCAUUUUGACAGAAUGAUAGGAAGAGAGAUUAUCCUUAUUGAAUGGAAAAUCCUUCUAAUUUAUAAAAAUGAAAAAAUAGAAAAAAUGAUAAAAUAAUUUUCAAAGAUUCUGACAUCCCAUUUGAUUUUGCUCAGAAUAGUCUUUCAUCCUACUGUAUGGUAUUACACAGGCUUCACUGUUGAGAAGUACAAUGCUACAUCAGUUUGACGGCCACUGCUAGGCAAAGAAUCCCUUCAUAAUAUAAGAAUAAAAACUCAAAAUAUUCUUCUACAGUUUCAUGAAUAGACAACAAAAAGCACUUUGUCUUCAUGUUGUUAUUUUGCCCUCAGCAAAAAGCAAGAUACCAAGCACUUUCCUCUCACUUUAGAAACAAAGAUGUUCUUAUCCACGUGGCUGUAAACUAGCUCGGUUUCCACUAGCUGUGGGUUGUGGAUGCUUUCUCAGAUAAAUCACACAUGAUCCAACUGGGGAUAACUGGAGUUAUCCUGGACUCAGAGAUCUAGAUAAUAGGAGACUAAAUGCAGAGUUAAGAGAAUUUUUAAAAGUAAUUUAGAUUUUUGUUUCAAGAUAAUUCUUAUAUUGGGAUAAAGACUUCCAAGUUUUUAACAUGCUGUUAUCAUUAAAAUGACAGGUGAAUUUUUGUGAGGGAGCAGGAGAGGCUGAAAAAUAUUUCAAACAAUUACUUAGCAAACGAGAAUAAACCAAACUGCUACUUUCGAAAAGGAAAUAGGAGGCUGGGGCAGUAACACACGCUGAUGUUUCUGACUGGAUAACAUUUAGCUUAAUUUUGUACAGUUGAGCUUUUAUUAUAUUAACAAUAAAACCUCAACAAAAUUACAGACAGCAAUUUCAUCCUUAUUAUAGUCUAAUAAUCUAAUUAAAACACUUAGGUUAAGGAUGUCUAAUAGAAAUGUCAAUCUUGGUAAAUUUUGGAACACAGGGUCUUUAGGGACUUUUUUCUGCAUUACUAUCAAAUAGACAAAUGGUAAAAGAUAUGACGGAGUUUUUCAAAGUUCUUUAAAAAUAUGUACAAUUGUAUACUUGAUUCUCUUUUCAGAUAUUAUACACUACUAUAUUUUCUGGAUUACAAACUUCUGAAAUACACACUGUGGAACAUAAAUGCUAGGUUUUAAUAUUCUUUAGUUCUUUACUUUGUAUUUUCUCACCCUGGUUAGAAGGAAAACAGAAAAUGAUCUUCCUGUUUAUAAGACUUCAGACACUGUGGUGACAGUGUGCUCCAACCCAACACAGCAACCCUGUACUUGCUCCAUGCUGGUGCCUGGACAAGCUCCACUGCACAAGCCAACGUGGCCCCAGGAAGGUGCUGUAUGCGAGAGUUUGUAAAAAUACAGCACAGCAUCACUCACGAUGAGGCAAAGCUCCUAGUGACUUUAAAUUUCCAGAUAGACCAGACAACAUCACGAAUCUCCUGAGGAAUCAUUAAUCAUUACUAGAGAAACAGAAACGUCAUAAACCCUGUCCAAAGCUGGACACCGGACAUGGAGUUGCCACCGUUAGAGCUAAAUUUUAUUCUUGGCUUUCUGAUACCUAAAGUAUAUUCAGAAGUUUUUUUUUUUUUUUUUUUUACAACAGCCUGUUUUGUUUUUAAACAUCAUAAAAUGUUUAGAAAUAUAAUUUCUCCUAUGUAAUGAAACUAAUACACUGAAUUUUAUAGGUAAAAGAGAAUGAAAAUUAUAAAUGUAGGCUGGGCGCGGUGGCUCACGCCUGUAAUCCCAGCACUCUGGGAGGCUGAGGCGGGUGGAUCACGAGGUCAGGAGAUCGAGACCAUCCUGGCUAACAUGGUGAAACCCCGUCUCUACUAAAAAAUACAAAAAAUUAGUCGGGCGUAGUGGCGGGCGCCUGUAGUCCCCGCUACUCAGGAGGCUGAGGCAGGAGAAUGGCGUGAACCCGGGAGGCGGAGCUUGCAGUGAGCCGAGAUCGCGCCACUGCACUCCAGCCUGGGUGACAGAGCGAGACAUCAUCUCACAAAAAAAAAAAAAAGAAAGAAAAUUAUAAAUGUAAACAUCAAAAUAAUAGCAUACAACAGAUGCUGAAGAAAAGUCAGAAGUACGACUGGGCGCGGUGGCUCGUGCCUGUAAUCUCAGCACUUUGGGAGGCCGAGGUGGGUAGAUCACGAGGUCAGGAGUUUGAGACCAGCCUGGCCAACAUGGUGAAACACCAUCUCUACUAAAUUACAAAAAUUAGCCAGCCAUGGUGGUGGGCACCUGUAAUCCCAGCUACUCUGGAGGCUGAGGCAGGAGAAUUGCUUGAACCCGGGAGGCAGAGGCUGCAGUGAGCCGAGAUCAUGCCACGGCACUACAGCCUGGGUGACGGAACGAGGCUCCGUCUCGGGGGGAAAAAAAAGUCAGAAGUAAAACUCCCCUCUAAAAGCCUGGGGCCUUUCCAACCCAGAUAGAGAAAAAAUAUCUGGGUAGGUGGAUGGGUAGGAGAUUAGGACUGGGGCUGUAAAUAGAAAAUGAAAAUGAAAACCUCUCAUCUCACAGAACAAAAUUCAUUCAGUGAGUAGUUCACAGACUGUUUUUUUUUUUUUUUUUUUUUUUUUUUUUCUUGCGACAGAGUUUCGCUCUUGUCGCCAGGCUGGGGUGCAAUGGCGCCAUCUCGGCUCACUGCAAUCUCUGUCUCCCAGGUUCAAGCAAUUCUCCUGCCUCACCCUCCCAAGUAGCUGGGACUACAGGCACACACCACCAUGCCUGGCUAAUUGUUUGUAUUUUUAGUAGAGACGGAGUUUCACCAUGUUGGACAGGCUGGUCUGGAAGUCCUGACCUCAGAUGAUGUGCCUGUCUCGGCCUCCCAAAGUGCUGGGAUUAUACGCGUGAGCCACUGCACCUGGCUGUUGUUUUCAUCCAUCAUAUUCUGCAGGUACAAUUUUCCCAAAAUUUUAACUUACCAAGGUUAGUGCUCAUAUUCCAAUUUGAUUGAUUGAUUGAUUGACUGAUUGAGACAGAGUCUCACUCUGUCGCCCAGGCUGGAAUGCAGUGGUGCGAUCUCAGCUCACUGCAGUCUCUGGCUCCUGAGUUCAAGUGACUCUCCUGCCUCAGCCUCCCAAGUAGCUGGGAUUACAGCCACAUGCCACCAUGCCCAGCUAAUUUUUGUAAUUUAGUAGAGAUGGGGUUUCACCAUGUUGGCCAGGCUGGUCUCAAACUCCUGACCUCAAGUGAUCCACCCCCACCUAGGUCUCCCAAAUGGUGAGAUUGCAGGCGUGAGGCACCACGUCUGGCCCCAAUUUGCUUUAAAAAUAGUUGGAUCCUCAGGCUAUUUGUGAAACACGGGUAGAGGUAAGAACCGUCUGAAAGUUUUUAAUCUUUUACUUUGGAAACUUUGCAGUUGAUCAGGUCUGCGUAGCCUCCUGAAGCCCUACAGCAGUUCUACUCAUGGCUAUCUCCAUUUAUCCCUAACUUCUGCUGCUUUGUGGUCCUGUCAGGCAGAAGCAUUCAUGCUGUGCUCAGACUUCUGUACUUAAUGUAAAAAAUUAGCACAAUGUAUGGCUCCAGUUCUGUGUAUACUCUAAUAUCUUUCUUCAACUACGGCUUCUGAGGACAAACAAAUACCACUGAUUUUUAGGUCAUCUUUCUUAUUAAAAAGAAAGAAAGAAUUUAAAAAUCAAACACUUGAAUAUAGUUGCUGAAAAUUCUUAAUUACAUUUAGCUUGAUUUGAGGUUACUUAUUCGUAUUUAACAUAAAGAACCAAAUGAAACCUGAACUUGCAAAUAGCAAGUACAUGAGAAAACAUCCUCCUAUAUUAAGUGACCUAACCUAAAAAUAAACAAAAAAACCAUGACCUAAUUUCAGAAAUGUUUUGCUUUCAAAAAAUGGGCUACGUUGCAAGAAAAAAGACUUAAAUAUAAUUUGGGACCAAAUACAUAAGUCAAUAUGGAAAGUUAGAAGGCAUUUCAUUUAUAAAUGAAUGAUAUUUCACACUUAUAUAGCACCUUAUAUAUACAAAGUGCUUUACAAUGAUUAUUCAACAGCCCAUUCAUCAAUGUAAAUAAAUGUGGUUUACAAUCUGUUAACAAAUGUAAGCACUUUGAGGCAACCAAAUAUCCAAGAAAAUCUAUUUAGUAACAAAUUCCUGGACUAGCAGAUAGAUGUGAGAAAAAACGUAAAGAGAUCUGCCAUAAUAUAACAUACAAGAAGUUACUAAUGUUAGUGACUGAUAUUAAGAUAUCAAGUGUUAGGAAUUGUUAAAAAAUGGAAGGGUUUAUAUUAAAGAACAAGUAAAACAAAUGGGGCAUAAGUCAACAAACAGCCCAAAAAUAAGACUACCAAUAACUUGUACAUAUAUGAAAGAUAACUCUUUUAGAUGUGGAAAGCAACUGAAGGUAUGUCAACCACAUUGUUAGAAAAUGAUCCUCAGUUACUAAGAUAUUCCAAAAGAACAAGAAAUUAAUGCAGUGUCUAAUUUUUUUUCUUUUGUAAUUUAUCCCAAAAUAACCUCACCAAACAUUCACUUCUGCCAGCAAACAAGAUAGCAGGAAAUAAUGAAAUUUUAUGUAUUUAUGUUUUAAAAAUAGUCUCCAAAUCUUUGGACAAAUUUAAUUUCCUAUAAAACAAUGUGAAAACUCAUUUUUUCCUCAAAUAAUUCUUCCAGGUGCCUUAGGGAAGAUGUGAUUAGCACCUCUGCCAAUGUAUUCAAGUCUUUGCAAAAAGA
rnacentral:lncRNA from 1 species